rnacentral:rRNA from 1 species
GCUUUACUUAGCGGCGGACGGGUGAGUAACACGUGGGCAACCUACCCUAUGGAGGGGAAUAACAGGGAGAAAUCUUUGCUAAUACCGCAUAGAUCCGAAGUUUUGCAUAAAGCUUUGGAGAAAGGAGAAAUCCGCCAUAGGAUGGGCCCGCGUCCCAUUAGCUAGUUGGUGAGAUAACAGCCCACCAAGGCGACGAUGGGUAGCCGACCUGAGAGGGUGAACGGCCACAUUGGAACUGAGACACGGUCCAGACUCCUACGGGAGGCAGCAGUGGGGAAUAUUGCACAAUGGGGGGAACCCUGAUGCAGCAACGCCGCGUGAGCGAUGAAGGUCUUCGGAUUGUAAAGCUCUGUCUUCGCUGACGAUAAUGACGGUAAGCGAGGAGGAAGCCACGGCUAACUACGUGCCAGCAGCCGCGGUAAUACGUAGGUGGCGAGCGUUGUCCGGAAUUACUGGGCGUAAAGGGUGCGUAGGCGGUUUUUUAAGUGGGAUGUGAAAUCCUGAGGCUUAACUUCAGAAUUGCAUUCCAAACUGGAAGGCUAGAGUACAGGAGAGGAAAGCGGAAUUCCCAGUGUAGCGGUGAAAUGCGUAGAGAUUGGGAGGAACACCAGUGGCGAAGGCGGCUUUCUGGACUGUAACUGACGCUGAGGCACGAAAGCGUGGGGAGCAAACAGGAUUAGAUACCCUGGUAGUCCACGCC